UACGUAGGGUGCAAGCGUUUAAUCGGAAUUACUGGGCGUAAAGCGUGCGCAGGCGGUUUUGUAAGUCAGAUGUGAAAUCCCCGGGCUUAACCUGGGAACUGCGUUUGAAACUACAAGGCUAGAGUGUGACAGAGGGGGGUGGAAUUCCACGUGUAGCAGUGAAAUGCGUAGAGAUGUGGAGGAACACCGGAUGGCGAAGGCAGCCCCCUGGGUUAACACUGACGCUCAGGCACGAAAGCGUGGGGAGCAAACAGG
rnacentral:rRNA from 1 species